GAUCCUGGCUCAGGACGAACGCUGGCGGCGUGCCUAACACAUGCAAGUCGAACGGAGAAUUUUAUUUCGGUAGAAUUCUUAGUGGCGAACGGGUGAGUAACGCGUAGGCAACCUGCCCUUUAGACGGGGACAACAUUCCGAAAGGAGUGCUAAUACCGGAUGUGAUCAUCGUGCCGCAUGGCAGGAUGAAGAAAGAUGGCCUCUCGAAGCAAGCUAUCGCUAAAGGAUGGGCCUGCGU
rnacentral:rRNA from 1 species